rnacentral:rRNA from 1 species
CCUACGGGAGGCAGCAGUGGGGAAUAUUGGGCAAUGGGCGCAAGCCUGACCCAGCAACGCCGCGUGAAGGAAGAAGGCUCUCGGGUUGUAAACUUCUUUUCUCAGGGACGAAGAAAGUGACGGUACCUGUUGAAUAAGCCACGGCUAACUACGUGCCAGCAGCCGCGGUAAUACGUAGGUGGCAAGCGUUAUCCGGAUUUACUGGGUGUAAAGGGUGUGUAGGCGGGAGUGUAAGUCAGACGUUAAAUUGCGGGGCUCAACCCCGGAACUGCGUUUGAAACUGGUCUUCUUGAGUGAGGGAGAGGCAGGCGGAAUGCGGGGUGUAGCGGUGAAAUGCAUAGAUAUACGGAAGAACACCAGUGGCGAAGGCGAUAUGCGGGACUGUAACUGACACUGAGGCACGAAAGCGUGGGGAGCGAACAGGAUUAGAUACCCGAGUAGUC